GCUGCGGGAAAGAGAAAAAAUUUAAAAUGUUCUUAAGCGGCUGGCACUACCAUCUCAAUGACUGGCAAGGAGCAUUUGGGGAUGAAUGUUUGCAAGGCUGCCUUCUACUAUUCUCAAACCUCAGUUCUUCGCGAAAAGGUCAUAACGAUUGAUCGAAACAUUUUUAAUGGUUUUUACUCCCCUGAUUAAUCAGGGCACUAAUGUUUCCAUCCCUCCCCGGUCUGUUUCGGACUGUGCUGUGUUUACUUCGAAGAAAACUGGAAUUACCGUUUCUUCCUAAAGAGAAAAUUAAAGAUCUACCACUUAGAAAAGUUGAAAUACCGCAUACCCUUAAUUAACAUAGCGCAUCAUAAUAAAAGAAUUAGCCCCCCCUUAGAGAUUAGCUUGAAAAAGGUUUUAUCCAUGGAAUUGGUGGUAAAAAAGCGACGCUUUGGACAUUAUUGUAGAUGAGUACAUUCCAACAUACUCAGAAAUCUUAAGAAUUAAUAUUUCUACUUU